GAUGAACGCUGGCGGCGUGCCUAAUACAUGCAAGUCGAGCGAACAGAUCAGGAGCUUGCUCCGCUGACGUUAGCGGCGGACGGGUGAGUAACACGUGGAUAACCUGCCUAUAAGACUGGGAUAACUUCGGGAAACCGGAGCUAAUACCGCAUAAUAUAUUGAACCGCAUGGUUUGAUGGUGAAAGACGGUGUUGCUGUCUCUUGUUGAUGGAUCCGCGCGGCAUUAGCUAGUUGGUAAGGUAACGGCUUACCAAGGGCGCGAUGCGUAGCCGACCUGAGAGGGUGAUCGGCCACACUGGAACUGAGACACGGUCCAGACUCCUACGGGAGGCAGCAGUAGGGAAUCUUCCGCAAUGGGCGAAAGCCUGACGGAGCAACGCCGCGUGAGUGAUGAAGGUCUUCGGAUCGUAAAACUCUGUUAUUAGGGAAGAACAAGUGUGUAAGUAACUGUGCACGUCUUGACGGUAUCUAAUCAGAAAGCCACGGCUAACUACGUG
rnacentral:rRNA from 1 species